GCUGGUCUUAAACAUGCAACGAUUAGAGAAGAGAUUAAAACCAUUGGAGUUCCUUUCUUGAGAUCAUAAAUAUGAUUCAAGAUGCUCAUUUCCUCUGGACUUAGCAAGCAAUAAGCAAUCAAAAACAAUUAAACAUUCAAGCUCCUAGGAUCUCCAUUGGGCUUGUCUUUCUUAACUUGGCUAUUCAUGACAAUGGUCCUUCUUACUAUCUCAAGUUCGGAAUCCCUAUCACACAAGAACAAACAAUCAAAAAGUUC
rnacentral:lncRNA from 1 species